rnacentral:rRNA from 1 species
ACGGAAGGCAGCAGUGGGGAGUAUUGCACAAUGGGGGCAACCCUGAUGCAGCAACGCCGCGUGAGUGAAGAAGUAUUUCGGUAUGUAAAGCUCUAUCAGCAGGGAAGAUAAUGACGGUACCUGACUAAGAAGCUCCGGCUAAAUACGUGCCAGCAGCCGCGGUAAUACGUAUGGAGCAAGCGUUAUCCGGAUUUACUGGGUGUAAAGGGUGUGUAGGCGGCAAGGCAAGUCAGAAGUGAAAUGCCGGGGCUCAACCCCGGAGCUGCUUUUGAAACUGCCAUGCUGGAGUCCAGGAGAGGCAGGCGGAAUUCCUAGUGUAGCGGUGAAAUGCGUAGAUAUUAGGAAGAACACCAGUGGCGAAGGCGGCCUGCUGGACAGGAACUGACGCUGAGGCACGAAAGCGUGGGGAGCAAACAGGAUUAGAUACCCUGGUA